rnacentral:rRNA from 1 species
AUUGAACGCUGGCGGCAUGCCUUACACAUGUAAGUCGAACGGCAGCACGGGAGCAAUCCUGGUGGCGAGUGGCGAACGGGUGAGUAAAGUAUCGGAACGUGCCCAGUCGUGGGGGAUAACGUAGCGAAAGUUACGCUAAUACCGCAUACGAUCUAUGGAUGAAAGCGGGGGAUCGCAAGACCUCGCGCGAUUGGAGCGGCCGAGAUCAGAUUAGGUAGUUGGUGGGGUAAAGGCUAACCAAGCCGACGAUCUGUAGCUGGUCUGAGAGGACGACCAGCCAAACUGGGACUGGGACACGGCCCAGACUCCUACGGGAGGCAGCGGUGGGGAAUUUUGGACAAUGGGCGAAAGACUGAUCCAGCCAUGCCGCGUGCAGGAUGAAGGCCUUCGGGUUGUAAACUGCUUUUGUACGGAACGAAAAGGUUUGGGCUAAUAAGCUGAGCUCAUGACGGUACCGUAAGAAUAAGCACCGGCUAACUACGUGCCAGCCGCCGCCGUAA